CACUGCCGAGAAAAGCCUCUAGAUAGAAAAUAGGUGCCCGUACCGCAAACCGACACAGGUAGUCAAGAUGAGAAUUCUAAGGUGAGCGAGCGAACUCUCGUUAAGGAACUCGGCAAAAUGACCCCGUAACUUCGGGAGAAGGGGUGCUCUUUAGGGUUAACGCCCAGAAGAGCCGCAGUGAAUAGGCCCAAGCGACUGUUUAUCAAAAACACAGGUCUCUGCUAAACCGUAAGGUGAUG
rnacentral:rRNA from 1 species